rnacentral:ncRNA from 2 species
UACGGAGGGUGCAAGCGUUAUCCGGAUUCACUGGGUUUAAAGGGUGCGUAGGAGGGCAGGUAAGUCAGUGGUGAAAUCCCCGAGCUUAACUUGGGAACUGCCGUUGAUACUAUCUGUCUUGAAUAUUGUGGAGGUGAGCGGAAUAUGUCAUGUAGCGGUGAAAUGCUUAGAUAUGACAUAGAACACCAAUUGCGAAGGCAGCUCGCUACACAUAUAUUGACUCUGAGGCACGAAAGCGUGGGGAUCAAACAGG